rnacentral:ncRNA from 1 species
AAACCGGCUCUUUUAAGAGCCAACAAAUGUAUGAAAGAAUUGAACU